AUGUCGUAAGUAGGGAAUAGCCUUAACAUACCUUUUUCGCUAAAUUCACGUGGCCUAAAGACUUUAACUCAUAACUCCCUCGAUACUACAACAAGGUAGGACCAUAAUCAACACAUAAAAUAAAAGAUACCAUGACAAUACAAUAAAAGAUAUGUAUUUCCGUCGCAAAUUGCUAUUUGCUGCUUAUAAAAGCUAGAGUCGAUGAAAGAAGGGUCUUACCUCGAUCUUAGGUUCGUAAUUCACCUCAAAACCUUCAAAUAUAUUCAAACCCCUGCUGUCCCAACUCUAAAAUGUG
rnacentral:lncRNA from 1 species